rnacentral:other from 1 species
ACCCGCCUGCGCUGUUCGUGAUGGGUGUGCAUAUUCUUAGAACCUAAAUAUGAAACGGGACCCCAAUAUCUGGAUGUAAUGGCCGCGCCCCUCGGGGAUAGCCUGACCAGCCGUGAGGGGACCCACCUGGUUUGCCAGGUUCAAGAAGUAUAUUCACACGGCAGCGCGGGUUUUUU